rnacentral:rRNA from 1 species
UGAUGCGUUGUUGGGUAGGGGAGCGUUCUGUAAGCCUGUGAAGGUGUGUCGUGAGGCAUGCUGGAGGUAUCAGAAGUGCGAAUGCUGACAUAAGUAACGAUAAAGCGGGUGAAAAGCCCGCUCGCCGGAAGACCAAGGGUUCCUGUCCAACGUUAAUCGGGGCAGGGUGAGUCGACCCCUAAGGCGAGGCCGAAAGGCGUAGUCGAUGGGAAACGGGUUAAUAUUCCCGUACUUGGUGUUACUGCGAAGGGGGGACGGAGAAGGCUAUGUUGGCCGGGCGACGGUUGUCCCGGUUUAAGCGUGUAGGCUGGUUUUCCAGGCAAAUCCGGAAAAUCAAGGCUGAGGCGUGACGACGAGGCACUACGGUGCUGAAGCAACAAAUGCCCUGCUUCCAGGAAAAGCCUCUAAGCAUCAGGUAACAUCAAAUCGUACCCCAAACCGACACAGGUGGUCAGGUAGAGAAUACCAAGGCGCUUGAGAGAACUCGGGUGAAGGAACUAGGCAAAAUGGUGCCGUAACUUCGGGAGAAGGCACGCUGACACGUAGGUGAAGUGAUUUACUCAUGGAGCUGAAGUCAGUCGAAGAUACCAGCUGGCUGCAACUGUUUAUUAAAAACACAGCACUGUGCAAACACGAAAGUGGACGUAUACGGUGUGACGCCUGCCCGGUGCCGGAAGGUUAAUUGAUGGGGUCAGCGCAAGCGAAGCUCCUGAUCGAAGCCCCGGUAAACGGCGGCCGUAACUAUAACGGUCCUAAGGUAGCGAAAUUCCUUGUCGGGUAAGUUCCGACCUGCACGAAUGGCGUAAUGAUGGCCAGGCUGUCUCCACCCGAGACUCAGUGAAAUUGAACUCGCUGUGAAGAUGCAGUGUACCCGCGGCAAGACGGAAAGACCCCGUGAACCUUUACUAUAGCUUGACACUGAACAUUGAGCCUUGAUGUGUAG